UGAUGCCUGCCCGGUGCCGGAAGGUUAAUUGAUGGGGUCAGCGCAAGCGAAGCUCCUGAUCGAAGCCCCGGUAAACGGCGGCCGUACCUAUCACGGUCCUAAGGUAGCGAAAUUCCUUGU
rnacentral:rRNA from 1 species